GCCGAGGUGGUGGAAUUGGUAGACACGCUAUCUUGAGGGGGUAGUGAGGCAACUCGUGCGGGUUCAAAUCCCGCCCUCGGCA
rnacentral:tRNA from 1 species